rnacentral:rRNA from 1 species
UACGGGGGGGGCAAGCGUUGUUCGGAAUUACUGGGCGUAAAGGGCGCGUAGGCGGCCUGUUAAGUCGAACGUGAAAUCCCCGGGCUCAACCCGGGAACUGCGUCCGAUACUGGCAGGCUUGAAUUCGGGAGAGGGAUGCGGAAUUCCAGGUGUAGCGGUGAAAUGCGUAGAUAUCUGGAGGAACACCGGUGGCGAAGGCGGCAUCCUGGACCGGUAUUGACGCUGAGGCGCGAAAGCCAGGGGAGCAAACGGG